rnacentral:tRNA from 1 species
GGUGGCUCAGUGGAAGAGUGUUUGCCUUGCAUGCAUGAGGCCCUGGGUUCGAUUCCUCAGCACCA